UACGUAGGGUGCAAGCGUUGUCCGGAAUUAUUGGGCGUAAAGAGCGUGUAGGCGGUUCGGUAAGUCUGCCGUGAAAACCUGGGGCUCAACCCCGGGCGUGCGGUGGAUACUGCCGGGCUAGAGGGUGGUAGAGGCGAGUGGAAUUCCCGGUGUAGCGGUGAAAUGCGCAGAUAUCGGGAGGAACACCAGUAGCGAAGGCGGCUCUCUGGGCCUUACCUGACGCUGAGACGCGAAAGCGUGGGGAGCGAACCGG
rnacentral:rRNA from 1 species